CGGGGGAGGGAUUUUGCAGGACAGGGACACAGAUGGUGGGGCGUCGCCGCUAGUGGCAGAAGAAGCCAAGCGGGUCGUCAGAAGGAGGAGAAGAAGAAGCACCCCCCAAAGCGGAAUCGAAGUGUGCCGGCGCGUGCUCACGGCGAAGACGGCAUCUUCCCAGCAGUUGACUUAUAUUGCAGAGAGCCGCCGACCUCAAGCUGGGUCAACACAAUGUGGGCUGGUGGUAUCCAGCGGUGCCAAAUCUGCAAGAAUGAUACGCUCGCAGAUAUCCCUCUCUCUCACACUUUCCCUUUGCUGCGCAGCCUGAUUGCUCCUGAUUGCAGAUGCGUCAGUGACAACCCAGCAUUUCGCCACUGCAGAGCCUGACAUUUGUGCACCCGUUUGUCUUCCAUCAUCAUCCGCUGCUGCCCUGCCCAUCGUCUCCUUUGUUGCUUUGGAUUCUCACGUCCCGACAGAACCUUUGCUUCUUUCGUGAUUUUUGGAGUUUCGUUUUAGGGUUUCGAUUUAGGGUUACAGAUUCACUUCGACCGCUAUACACUGAACAUUGUGCUCAUCCUGGUCUCCUUGUUUGUUGAAUUGUAUACUAUCAAAGGUGAAUUGUUUUACUUUGUUUGUUUUGUGUCCCGUAUUUAAUUUUGGGACUUAUUAGAUGGAUAUCACCUUUUACUAUGUAGAUAUCAUGUUCCUUGCCACUCCCAUAGACAAAAUAAUACUAUUCUCUUUUGGAACAACAUUUUUUAGAGCAAUACAUCAAAAAGCUUUCACAAAAUGAACAAAAUAAAGUGAAUUUGUAAAUUGCACGUA
rnacentral:lncRNA from 1 species